rnacentral:rRNA from 1 species
AAAUUGAAGAGUUUGAUCAUGGCUCAGAUUGAACGCUGGCGGCAGGCCUAACACAUGCAAGUCGAACGGUAACAGGAAGCAGCUUGCUGCUUCGCUGACGAGUGGCGGACGGGUGAGUAAUGUCUGGGAAACUGCCUGAUGGAGGGGGAUAACUACUGGAAACGGUAGCUAAUACCGCAUAACGUCGCAAGACCAAAGAGGGGGACCUUCGGGCCUCUUGCCAUCGGAUGUGCCCAGAUGGGAUUAGCUUGUUGGUGGGGUAACGGCUCACCAAGGCGACGAUCCCUAGCUGGUCUGAGAGGAUGACCAGCCACACUGGAACUGAGACACGGUCCAGACUCCUACGGGAGGCAGCAGUGGGGAAUAUUGCACAAUGGGCGCAAGCCUGAUGCA